AAUAAUAUUAACAUAGGUUAUGUUUUUUAUUGAAGUGUAGGCUUAUAAACUUGUUAACAUUAUUGCUAAUAUUAACUUAAGUUUUGUGUAGAAGUAUAGAAUUUAUUAACUUUGUUAAUUAAUGCUAUUAUUGAAAUAGGACCGGCUUGUUAGCAUGGUAAAUCAGACAUAUUUUAGAAAUUUUCCCCUUACUUUAAACUCAUUAUGAUGUAGUAUAUAAGGUCUAUAUCUUUGUACCUUUGCUGUAUCCAUGUGACUCCAGUUUGUAGUCUCCAGAUCUAGAUCAAAUUAAAAAUAAGAUUUUAUAAGAAAUAUUUUUGGAUAACUUUUAACUCAUUUUUAAUCUCCUACUGCUGAUAAAAUCGUGUACAUUCAUUGUUUCUGUAUUUAAAUACUAACUGUUGUAAGCGAUUAUCAAUUAUUUAAUUCAUUGCUGCGAGGAGAAAAAAAAGAUAGCUUUUUUCUUAAAUAUGUAGCUUUAUUUGUUCUCAGGGAUUUUCUUAUCCACCUCUCAGUAUUAUUCCCUGCCGUAUGUCAAAGCUUACGUUAUAAGAAACAUAUUAUUUUAAUCUUUUAAAGGCAAUGUUUCAAAGAGUAUUUGUUUGCCUCACAAUUUGUUUUACUUAAUUAGCUGGAUAACGUUUAGUAAAUACUCUUCGAAAUGUCAUCCAAAUGAACUAGUAGCUGUUUUCCAUAAGUAUGUGUUAUAGUUUAUAUAUAAUUUUUGUUUGACUUAUAUGUUCUGCUACAUGUCACAAAUUAUGUAUUAUGUUGACGAGAGAAUCUGACAUUUAUGACCAAGAUGUCUUUUAAAAUGACUAAAACUCUUUGAUUUGGUUAACAAAACGUGUUUUAAUUUAAUGGGGAUCUGUCUACAUUUGAGAUUUUUGUUCCGUAGAUACCGAAGUUGAGAUAUAAUCAAUUAUGUGUUCCAACCAUCGAUUAAUUCAGACAUUAUGUGCACUGAAAUUAGUAGACAAACCGACUUCCACAUAUAUUUGAAAACGUAAAGUUUUGUAUAUCUUGUCUAAUUAUUAAUCAAAAUAACGCAAGAUCCAUCUAAUUCAAUACUUUAUUUUAAACUAAAUCAAAGUGGUUUAGCUGUUUCAAGAUUAGGCUGACUCAAGAUAAUAUGGCCUGAAUUUCCAUGCAUUAUACAGUGUGUUCACACAGAAUAAUUUGACUGCAUCUUUGCUUUUAAGUCAUAGUAGACCCAGUGACUUAAAAUUGAAAACAUGUAUAGUUCUAUUCUGUAGAUCUUGCUUAUCACUUUAAAAAAAACCACCCAGAAACAUUAUAAUUAACUAAUUAAUUUCUUCAUUACUAUAUAUUUUGAUACCACAAAAUAAAAACAUAAAUAUAGACUGGGACUACUGAGAUUUUAAAGCUUGAUAAGGCCAUACAAAAAAAAAAUAUUCUGGUUCACAGCCACUCCUGCGUCACUUAAAAAGGGCCGCAUGACCUGUUUUUAUUUCAAAAUAUAAGAAAUAAUAACAAUCUUGUCAAUUAUCCCUUGUAAAUAUAUUUCCUCAGUUACAGGAAGUAAAAAUAAAAUUUGAAGCGUACGCAACCCUGACAUUCUUGAUGACACUAGAUAAUCCUACAUUCCUAUAAACGACAUGAUGAGGUAAAUGUAGUUCCGUGAAAUGUGAUGUGAGAAUCCAUUUAGCCCAGUAGUGACUUAAUCCUUUGACAAAAUGAAAACACAAAAGUAAAAACCUCCCUCUUCUAUCAGAUUGUUUGGAAGGAUUUUCUGAGAACCAAAAUAAUUUUAUGGUAUGGCCUUAGAUAAUUUCUCAGCAUUUAACUAAUUAUUAAACCUUUGUCUUAAAACUAAUCUGGUGCUUGAAUAUAAUCAACAUGUUUUAAUAAGAUCAUAAAAUAAACGUUUUUGUACUAUUAGCUUAGAUUUUUGUAACAAUCAUAAUAGAUUUCUUUGUCUCAAUAUUUAUUUAUUUAAAACAUAGGUGACUAUUGUAGAUGGCUUAGGCCUUUCCCAUUUGAAUUUUUGUUUUUCAGAUUUAUGAUUCUAUAAAUUUUUUACUUCAUAUCUGAUUCUGUAAAUUUAUGACUACCAUAUAUCUGAUUCUGUAAAUUUAAUACACAACUUCUUAUUUGGUAAAUUUAAAAACAAAAAGUAUUUGUUUACUAUUUUAGUUGCACAUUUAUAAGUUUUGAAAUUUUAAAGAAAGAAAUUCUUCAUGGGACUCAAGAGGAUAUUAAUUGAUCAGAACCCUGAAGAACUAAAUAUUCAUUUGAUUUGGCCCUGUGCUCGACAUUUACAACUAGAUAUAACCAUUUUAUGUUCUAGAUUUCAAAUUCCUUAAUUGUGUAACUUAGGUUGUUAUGUAAUACAUUUAUGCCUAGAUUUCGAGUUCAUUAAUUUUCCAACUAGAUUUCAUGUAAAUUCAUGCUUAGAUUUCUAGUUCCUUCAUUUUGCAGUAAAUGUAUGACUAGAUUUCUAUUUCUGUAAUUUUGUAUCUAGAUUUCUCAUUAUGAACUUGACCAGAUCUUAUUUAAAUUUAUCACAUGAUCGACUAUUUUGUAAAUUUUAGGUAUAUGACCAGUGUUGUAAAUUUAUGACUGGAUUUUAUGUUGGUUUAUUAUUAGAUUUCUGAUUCCAUAAAUUUAUGACUAUAAUUUCUGAUUCUGUAAAUUAUGAUUUCUGAUUAUUUAAAUAUGAUUAUGAUUUCUGAUUCUGCAAAUUUCUGAUUAUGAUUUUCUGAUUCUGUAAAUUUAUGACAUGUCUGUUUUGUAAAUUUAUGACUCAACGACUCAACUACUGAGUCUGUAAAUUUAUGAGUCAGUUUCUGAUUCUGUAAAUUUAUGACUCAAUUUCUGAUUCUGUAAAUUUAAAGACUCGAAACAAGAUCUCAGGCUUAUCCAUUUCAUUUGUUUGAGAUUACUUAAGCUGUAUAUUCCAUCAAUAUUGACAGUAUUUUUCUUGUUAUGAAAUUGAUUUGUUCGUCCUGUAACAGUCGUUAGGUGUGUCAAUCACCUGGAGCCAUGCGAACUGUACGACCUUGGGUCAAACCCAGAGUCUAGAGGUAAAAUUAGAAGAGUUAUAUAUUUCUGCUAUCAUAAAUGAUUUUUGCUUUAGUGGGCAGCUGAAUCAAGAUUGUAUAUUUAUAUAUUGUAGUUUUGUAUCGGGGCUUGUCAUUGGACAAAGACCAGUAUUAAAUCAAAUUUGACUGGCUUAAACUCCACCUGUCGUCCAAUCGUUUCCAGCCCUCAAUUGUACUAUUAUUAUGUAGUUAUAGUUUAUAUCAAGUGGUAUCUGCUUUCUAUUUAUUCCUGUGAAAUUAUAUCUAUUUAUCAAUAUGCGACUGUCAAGGCCUAAUUGUCUUUCUUUGUGUUCAAUGUGCGAUGCCAUUUUUUAAAAAAUAACAAUUUUGUGAAUGCAUGAAAUAUAGAUUUAUAUAUAUAUAUAUAUUGCUACGAAAAAUAUUUUUAUACGCCCACAUUUAAUGUGGUCGUAUAUUGUCAUCAUUUCCGUCCGAAUUGUCCAGAUACAAUGUCAAGGUCAAGGAUGGGAUUGUUCAUUAGGGUGUAAAGAAGAGUCCUAAAUAAUGUAAAUUUUCAACAUGUUUGGAAGAGUUAAUUUUUCUUGGACAUUUUAAACUUGUAAACGUGUCACAGGACAAAAUUAGUAAUUAUAUUUUUUCUAAAAACUCAGUAGAAUUUCUCAUUUGGAACUAAUAAAGAAUUUUUACGAUUAAAAAUCAGAGUUAUCCCCCCCUGUUUACAUUUAGAUUUAUGAAAUCUAGGUAAAUGUAUACAGGAAAGGGAUCAUGAUUUUGCAAAGUUGUCUUGUUUAGAUUUGUUCAAAUCUUAUUCAGAAUUUUUCAUUCUCAAAUCGCUGAGAUAUUCACCCAUUAAUGUUCGCAAUACAGGACAUGGGUCUUUAACAGAAUACAUGUAUAUUGGAACAUAAGGAAGACUCCUAUUGAAUUUAAAAAAUCUUAAAUUUCAAAAAGUGGAAAUUGCUGGUGGUGGGUGUACUAGGGGAUGUGAUAAGUCUUCGUUUAUGUUUAUUUGAGAACAUCAAAUAUUAAAAUUAUUUUUCAUCAUCUUUAACUGAUAGAAAUUAUUUGUCAGAAAAAAAAAUUGGCCUCGUUGCUCAUUUGUAUUUAAUGAGUACAGACAAUAUGAGUAGGAUUCCAGCCAUUGCAGAGAUUUGAUAUUUGUUUAUAUCUAAAAUUUUAGACUUUUCUCCCCAUUUACAUUUGCAGAGUUACGAUAUUUUUUACUUUAAAGCUUUUAAAUUUUGGGCUUGUCUGCUCAUUGACGUUCAAAUUUAUGAAAUCUUGUGAACGCAAUAUAAAAUAGUCGAUUAGACGGAAUAUUUUUAAAACUUGGUGAAAUGUUUCAUAAGGUUAUAUAGUACCAUUUAAAAAUAAUCUUUCCGUUCCCAUUUUGACUUUGGAUGCAGUGUUAUUCUAAUUACCAUCGUAUCCAUAAAGCCAGAUGGCUGUGUAUAGUUUAAUAUAGAAUUAUGAUACAAUAGCUGAAGUUCUCCUUUAAGGUUGAAACUAUGAUCUCUAUCAGCUAUUAUGAAAAAACUAACUUUGUUAGUCUAAAGCUUGUUGUUGAUUAUUGUAUAGUUUAUAUCAUUCAAGUAUUUCCGUUUAAAGGAGAAGUCCCAAUAUUCACUGGGUCACCAAACAACAAAAUAAAAUGUUUAUGUACAUGUAAGAAAGUCAAAUGCCAAAAUCUAAAGAUAUGACUACCAGGUAGAUUAAAAUAUUGGGCUGUGUGGAAAAGAUUGCCAAAAUAGUUUACAGAAUUUAUGCAGCUUGCCUCCAACUUUCUGUAGAGUAAUCUGAUAAAAGUGACUACCCGAUACCGUUUGUAAAUUUUGCCACAUGGUAAUUAUGACAUGCAAAAAAAAAUAAUAAGUUACAGACAAGUUUAUCCAGACACGAGACGAUGGCUAUUCAAGCAAUUCGUCCUUCUGACAACUGGUCAUUAUUAUUUCUUGGAAAACAUCAAAGAUCUUCAGGCUAGAAUAAAAGAUUCUAAUUAAGAGCCCUACACAAAGAAUGAGUCAAGAAAAGAAAAUACCUGUGAUUAUGGUUACUUGACCCGCCCCCCCCCCCCCAAAUAGGGUUGGCCAAUUUGAAAAUCUUUUUUUUUAUUAUAUUUAUUUUUUUCUGGGUUUGCAUUAUCUAUUUUCUUGCAUUUCUAGCUUAAUUACUGAGUAAAAUUCUUGAAAAUGAUACCAAAAAUAAGGUCUAGAAGACUGAGAGAAAAAAGUUUAAGGUCAACAAUUUUAAUAAAAUAGGUUUGGUAGGGUAAUCGUAAACACAUGUUGGGUUUUUUUGACCUUCCUUAUACACAAUAUGGAAAUCGUAUUAUAAACUGUUGAUUAUUAAAUAUACUUAAGGGAUUUCUCCUAUAAACUGAUGACUACUCGUAGUAUAUCACCUUAAAAUUAGACGAAAUCUUUCACUAUGUAUAUGUUGUUUAUCAUAUUGUAUAAACUGUUGUUGAUUAUCAUAAUGUUUAAACAAAUUAAAUGUAUCAAUUCUUUAAAUGUUGUUAGAUAAGUUUAUUAUUCUUCUAAAUAUAACUGAUGUUGUAUAUUUUUGUAAAUCCACAACUGGACUUGUCCUUUGGAUAUUGGGGUUUUGAAACUGUAACAGAUUUUUUAAGUGCAUGCAUUAACAGUUUGUUGGAUGGCUUGUUUUUAACCAACCACAGAAAUUUUAGAAUUAUCUCACUAUUUACUCUCAACGUUAUCAAGUUUUGAGAAUGUAAUAGAGUACAUUUAAUUAUUGUUGGAGUAAAGUUAUGUUGAAUGGGGACUAAUACUUAAUGCUCAGAGGCAUGUCGACAAUUCAUAUAGGCUAUGGGUAGAAAUCGAAACAUAUAGCACCAUUAUGUACAUAAAUCUACCUUUAAAUCAAAAAGGUAAAAAGAAGGGAAUAAAAACUCCAUUGAAUUUUCUUAAUAAAAGAAGAAAUGAAAAGUUUACCAUUCAGAGGCCAAACAAAAAAUGUUGAAAAAAAUAAAGGGACCUGCAGGAAUGACAAAGAGUGUCAUAUCUUUUGGAUAGCAUGGGGAAAACGUGGUCCACAUUGAUUUACAUGUUAAAGAACACUUAGCAGUUGAAAUUUGAGUAUGCUAAAACAAAAUUGUUUACACAAUUGUACAUGAAACAUUUGAAAUGUAAAUUGCCACAUAUUAUUCUCAAAAUGACUCAAGUAUUAUGUUGACGAAACAUUGACCCCCGUUUCAUUCAUCAAUUAAUUCCCAUUGGACAUAUCACACAAAUUCCUUCUUCUAAAAUCAAAUCACAGAAGCACAUAUUUUAAAAAUCACCUCUUACAUAAAUAAAUAGAAAAUACGUCCAGUUACAAAAUUCAACCCCUUUUACUUCAUUCUGAUCGACGUCUAAUCAUAAGCUAACUGUCUGCUCUUUAUCGAGCAUCUUCAGAUGUUAUAAUGUAUAUGUAAGCAUGCCUAUAAAAAUUCUUUGUUCAAUUCAAGAAAUUGCCUAACAUUUAUAAAUUAAAGUUACUGCAUGAAAUUGCCUAACAUUUGUAAAAAAAAAACAAAUUAUUUUAGCAUGGACAUGUAUCUAUAAUUAUUACAGUUUACUACAUUUCAUUAUUUUUAGUUGCUCAAACAAUAUUUAUUUUUUGUCUUAAGAUGUGCCGUAAAGUAUGAAAUUAAUAUUAACUUUAAAAGUUUUUUCAUCUAAAUUUUGAAGUGUUCAAGUUUAUGUGAGUUAAAUAUGAUCAUAGUUUAUAGAUCACUUCCUUUGCAUGUCGAACAAACUUCAUUUAUUCAUUAUAACGAUUACUGCGUGGCUCUUUGAGUAUGGGACUAGCUUACUAACCUGGAGAGAGGGGCUGGGCUUAAUGACCAAAAUCAUGCGCUUUAGAUUGGAAGGUCUGUCAUGGAGUCAAGUAGUUUGGAUUCCCAGCUUGUACGGGGGUUGUCUCUGGUUUCCUCCCAUUGCUAAAGACCUCUACACGCAAACGAAUUAUUGAAAUAAACUUGUAACAUGUUAGUCCCAAAAUGACCUAGUUUGUGUCAAGCAAAAUUUAAGUCCCAUUUGUUUUGUUUUCUACCCCUCUAUCUCUCUGUAGUAAAUAUCAAGAUUGAAUCUGUGAGUACUGUCUGCACAAUCCUUGAAAACAACCACUGACAGAUGUUUGACACACUUCAGCCAAAAUUCAAAUCAUGUUUACUGGUCAGUGACUGCUGAAGUUAUGAGAAUAAAAAUUGUUUUCUUAGUAGCCAAGUAUUACUUGGCAAAUAUCUGCAUGCAAAAUGAAAUGAAAUGGGUUUAACAUCCUCCUUUUCUGCACUGACUGGGAUGAUGAAAACGGGCAUAGGCCAUUAGGGAAAUUUUGCCCAAACAACACUGAGCGCUACGGCCUACUCUUAUUUCAAAUUCGAACUGUCAAGGGUUCUUUUACGUGCAUGCCAAUGGGUACACAGGACCUUAGUUUUCCGUCCCAUCCGAACAACUAUAUGUUGUCAUGCUGGAAAAUCCCUAUGAACUUUCUCUGCCAACGCAGAGCAAACAUCUUACUCACUGAGCCACCGUGGCUCCCCUAUCUGCAAACAAACAUUUCUCUAUCAAAGCAGAAAUCACUUUUAAACUCUUAUUUAAUACAUGUUUGUUAAUAAAUAAUAAUUUGCUGAUUUUUAGCAUUAUUUAAUCGUGAAAUUGUUAUAUUAAAGAUUUCUAUAAUUAAUCUUUACUAAUCCUUGUCAUCAUUUUAAGAAAAUAUCAUUUUUAUAUUGAUGAAAUAUUAAUCAAUCUUUGCUGAUUCGUAUAAUCAUCUUUUUAAGAAAAUGUAAUUUUCAUAUCGAUAAAAUAUUAAUCUAUGUACAUACAUAUAUUACCAGUUUGAAGUAGCAAUAUUGAAUGAAUAGCAUAUUUUUGGAAUGCAGCUAGCUGACCUAGACAUUAUGUCAGUCAGUAGACUUGGCUUUUGAGAAUAAUAGCAAAUUUAAUGUAUGUUAUUUUCAUGCUUGACAUGUGAAUGAAAAAUGUUGUCAUACCCGGCUUAUUGUGAAGUUUUCAUCAAAGAUGUAUGUUUUUGACGUUUGACGUUCUGCUUGCAUAAUCAAACUAGAGGAUAACUCUACUUUCCCUUUCACAUACUAGUUGUGACCAUUGAUCAUCAAGAGAAAUCAUCUCUUAAUCUUGUUAAGGUUGCAUCAGAUCACCUAAGGCCACAUAAAAAAAUAUUAUUUACCAGAAAUAAAUCUGCCUAUUGCAGGUCUUUCUUUAGGCCAGAAAUGUUAUAUAAACUAUUAAUUAGACAUUAAUUAACAUAAUCAACUCCCCAUACCAUCUUAUGUGUCCGGUUUUCAUUGGAAGUAAAUCCAAUCUGCCAUUGAUGAUUAACCGCAAAUAAUGGAUAAUUGAGACUUUGUUAAUUAUCGUGACAGUGGUAACAAUGACAAUCGAGGCUACAUUGAUUUUAAAAUAAGGUUUUCUUGGCUUAGAGUCAAACAAUUUGACUGAAAUUUUCAGCAUAUUCCCUUUACAUUAUAUAGUUGUUAACUAUUAUAGUGAGAACUGCCAGCUCUUUAUCUAAUCUUCCAUAAUGUAUCUUUAAACAGGCAUUAUUUAAGAGAUAAAUCUGCCUAUUGUAGGUCUUAAAGUAGUUUUAUAAAUGAUAAUGAUUUAUAUAUAAAAAUGAGUUGAUUUAUGAUCACAUUAACUCUCGAGAUAGUUCAUACACUCUAAACAUGGGUAUCCCCAGUGGUAUCAUUCCGUUCUACUCCACUAACCCCCACGAGUCCAUUCACAGGGUUUUCACGAUUCAGAUUAUCUGCUCUUGAUUUCUUUGGGUUCGUAGGCUGAUUCUACAUACCAAUCAAAAACAGUUUACAUACUGGUCUUAGCGCCAUUGUUGACGUUCACCACCAUACAACAGCUUUACGUUCAAUUAUGAGAGGUUUGCAAUUAUCAUGCAAGUCCAAUAUUUCAUCUAGUUUUAUAUAAUCUACGAUUGGCAAGUUGCCAGUAACAUUAUUCGAAAUAAUGGUAACGGACACCAAAUAUGACAUGACAAUUGUAUUUUAAGACAUGUAAAUUGACUAAUCAGUCAGUCAGUGUCACUGUCAUUGAUUCUAGAGGGGCAAAAAAGAAUAAAACAAGAGCCCUGGUGGGGGGUGGAUGGCCCAGUUGAAAUAAUGUAUGAAAAUAUCCUGUUGAGUUAUCUGGAUUUACUAUGGUGUGAUAGACAUUUAUAUCUAGUACAAAAUAAUGCAAAAUAAUAACCUUUGUUAAUUAAUAAUUUCAUAAUAAAGUUACUCUUAGGGAUUUUUUAUUAAUGUCAUCUUCAUUAGUCAACUAUGAGUUGUGUACCUUUAUACUCGGCUGUGAAGUCUAAAAGUCUACUUGACAUAAAAAGAUUUUAGUGUAUGACAUCCAGGCACAAUUUCUUUACUGACUGUGAAAUCUAACUCUACAAGUCUACUGGACAUAAAAAGAUUUUAGUCUAUGACAUCCAGACACAAUUUCUUUACUGAUUUACAGAUGUUGGAUUUUGAGUAUAUUAGUCUCAGAAUGAUCAAAGUAUUCCUAGUUCUACCUUUUUCCCCAAAUAUGAAAUAAAUAUUUUUCAUUUAAAUUUGAGAGAUAUUUGGAGAAAACAAUGCAGUUAGUAUAGUUUUUUUUUAAAGAACCUCAAACCACAAAAGGUGACGUAUUAUCUUGGCUAGUGAAGAUGUCAUUAACUCUUAUAUUUAAAUUAUUUUAUACAAUGGCUAUAUAUUCUUGUGAAUGUUAUUUUUUUUUUUCAUUAAGUGCCUCCACAUGAAAUCAAAUAAUUUUUUGUAAUGCUAUAAGUGGAUGUGUUGGUGACAGAAAGUUAUUUGUUAAUAAAUAUCAUGUUAAUAAUUA